rnacentral:rRNA from 1 species
AUUGAACGCUGGCGGCAUGCUUUACACAUGCAAGUCGAACGGUAACAGGGUGCUUGCACCGCUGACGAGUGGCGAACGGGUGAGUAAUGCGUCGGAACGUGCCGAGUAGUGGGGGAUAACGCAGCGAAAGUUGUGCUAAUACCGCAUACGUACUGAGGUAGAAAGUGGGGGACCUUCGGGCCUCACGCUAUUCGAGCGGCCGACGUCUGAUUAGCUAGUAGGUGAGGUAAAGGCUCACCUAGGCGACGAUCAGGAGCGGGUCUGAGAGGAUGAUCCGCCACACUGGGACUGAGACACGGCCCAGACUCCUACGGGAGGCAGCAGUGGGGAAUUUUGGACAAUGGGCGAAAGCCUGAUCCAGCCAUGCCGCGUGUCUGAAGAAGGUCUUCGGGUUGUAAAGGACUUUUGUCGGGGAGGAAAUCCCCAGCGUUAAUACCGCUGGGGGAUGACAGUACCUGAAGAAUAAGCACCGGCUAACUACGUGCCAGCAGCCGCGGUAAAAC